rnacentral:tRNA from 1 species
AGGUGCGCAGGAGACGGAUACUUCCACUGCUAAUGGGGUGGUCGCGGGUUCGAGUCCCGCCGCCCUUC